UACAGAGGGUGCAAGCGUUUAAUCGGAAUUACUGGGCGUAAAGCGUGCGUAGACGGUUAUUUAAGUCGGGUGUGAAAGCCCCGGGCUCAACCUGGGAAUUGCAUUCGAGACUGAAUAGCUAGGGUGCGGAAGAGGGAAGCGGAAUUUCCGGUGUAGCGGUGAAAUGCGUAGAUAUCGGAAGGAACACCAGUGGCGAAAGCGGCUUCCUGGUCCAGCACCGACGUUCAGGCACGAAAGCGUGGGGAGCAAACAGG
rnacentral:rRNA from 1 species